rnacentral:rRNA from 1 species
UACGGAGGGGGCUAGCGUUGUUCGGAAUUACUGGGCGUAAAGGGCGCGUAGGCGGCACCGCAAGUCGACUGUGAAAUCUCCGGGCUUAACCCGGAAAGGUCAGCCGAUACUGCGGGGCUAGAGUGCAGAAGGGGCAACUGGAAUUCUCGGUGUAGCGGUGAAAUGCGUAGAUAUCGAGAGGAACACCUGCGGCGAAGGCGGGUUGCUGGGCUGACACUGACGCUGAUGCGCGAAAGCUAGGGGAGCGAACGGG